rnacentral:rRNA from 1 species
AGUCAUUUAAACUUCGGUUUAGGUGGCGGGCGAGUGGCGCACGGGUGCGUAACACGUAGGAAAUCUACCUUUAGGCGGGGAAUAACCAUUGGAAACGAUGGCUAAUACCGCAUAUUUUUUUGUAUCGCAUGGUAUAAAAAUGAAAGUCUUCGGGAGCCUAAAGAUGAUCCUGCGGUGGAUUAGCUAGUUGGUGAGAUAACAGCUCACCAAGGCGACGAUCCAUAGCUGGUCUGAGAGGAUGAUCAGCCACACUGGCACUGAGACACGGGCCAGACUCCUACGGGAGGCAGCAGUGAGGAAUAUUGGACAAUGGGCGAAAGCCUGAUCCAGCCACGCCGCGUGGAGGACGACACCCCUAUGGGGCGUAAACUCCUUUUUUACAAGAAGGACAACCCGGUCGCCGGGUCUGACGGUAUUGUAAGAAUAAGCACCGGCUAACUCCGUGCCAGCAGCCGCGGUAAUACGGAGGGUGCAAGCGUUGUCCGGAAUUAUUGGGUGUAAAGGGUGCGCAGGUGGAAUACUAAGUCGGUGGUGAAAGCCUACAGCUCAACUGUAGAAUUGCCUUCGAUACUGGUAUUCUUGAGUCCCGGAGAGGUCAUCGGAAUUCGUGGUGUAGCGGUGAAAUGCGUAGAUAUCACGAGGAACACCAGAAGCGUAGGCGGGUGACUGGACGGGUACUGACACUCAGGCACGAAAGCGUGGGGAGCAAACAGGAUUAGAUACCCUGGUAGUCCACGCUGUAAACGAUGGAUACUCGGCGUUGUCUCCUUGAGGGACAGUGCCUAAGCUAACGCGUUAAGUAUCCCACCUGGGGAGUACGAUCGCAAGGUUGAAACUCAAAGGAAUUGACGGGGGCCCGCACAAGCGGUGGAGCAUGUGGCUUAAUUCGAUGCAACGCGAGGAACCUUAUCCUGGAUUCAACGCUACCGGACCGCUGCCGAAAGGUAGCUUUCCUUAUGGACCGGUAGCGCGGUGCUGCAUGGCUGUCGUCAGCUCGUGUCGUGAGAUGUUGGGUUAAGUCCCGCAACGAGCGCAACCCCUAUCGUUAGUUACCAGCGGAUAAUGCCGGGGACUCUAACGAGACUGCCUGCGCAAGCAGUGAGGAAGGUGGGGAUGACGUCAAGUCCUCAUGGCCUUUAUGUCCAGGGCUGCACACGUGCUACAAUGGAUGGUACAACGGGUUGCUACCCCGCGAGGGGGCGCUAAUCCCUCAAACCCAUCCUCAGUUCGGAUUGGAGUCUGCAACUCGACUCCAUGAAGUUGGAAUCGCUAGUAAUCGCGUAUCAGAAUGACGCGGUGAAUACGUUCCCGGGCCUUGUACACACCGCCCGUCAAGCCAUGGAAGCUGGGGGUGCCCGAAGUCCGUGACCCAACCCUUUGGGAGGGAGCGGCCGAAGGUAAAACCAGUGACUGGGGCUAAGUCGGAACAAGGUA